rnacentral:sRNA from 1 species
UGAAAUAUCUCCUCCUUUCUUGUACAUG